GUCAAGUUGAAGGAACGACAGAGUGAAACCUAACAGAGGUCUGAGCUGGUGGCAGUGCCAACAGCAUGACCGAGAACCUCCAGCUGCAUCAGAGGUCAGAAAAGCCCCUUGGUUGGCACAGGUGACCAAGGGUGACCGUGUGAUCUACACACUCACAAGAGAAGAUACACCAUUGCUGCUUUUGAAUAAUGGUAAAGGAAGAAUGAAAGUCGCUCACAUCUUAAGAACUUAAAUUGAAACCUGCUUCAGGGAAUGACUGGUGUUGUAAAACAGAAGCCAGUAGAAAUGAUGUGUCACAGAUUCCAAGGUACG
rnacentral:lncRNA from 1 species